AUUGAACGCUGGCGGCAGGCCUAACACAUGCAAGUCGAGCGGAUGAAGGGAGCUUGCUCCUGGAUUCAGCGGCGGACGGGUGAGUAAUGCCUAGGAAUCUGCCUGGUAGUGGGGGAUAACGUCCGGAAACGGGCGCUAAUACCGCAUACGUCCUGAGGGAGAAAGUGGGGGAGCUUCGGACCUCACGCUAUCAGAUGAGCCUAGGUCGGAUUAGCUAGUUGGUGGGGUAAAGGCCUACCAAGGCGACGAUCCGUAACUGGUCUGAGAGGAUGAUCAGUCACACUUGAACUGAGACACGGUCCAGACUCCUACGGGAGGCAGCAGUGGGGAAUAUUGGACAAUGGGCGAAAGCCUGAUCCAGCCAUGCCGCGUGUGUGAAGAAGGUCUUCGGAUUGUAAAGCACUUUAAGUUGGGAGGAAGGGCAGUAAGUUAAUACCUUGCUGUUUUGACGUUACCAACAGAAUAAGCACCGGCUAACUUCGUG
rnacentral:rRNA from 1 species